rnacentral:rRNA from 1 species
GCCGGCAGCUAGCUCUCAGGCUGCGCCCGGUCAGUACCUGGAUGGGAGACCACAUGGGAAAGCUAGGUUGCUGCCCGAA